rnacentral:rRNA from 1 species
AGUCGAGCGCCCGCAAGGGGAGCGGCAGACGGGUGAUUCACCGUGGGAACAACAAGAAGGUACGGAACAACUCCGGGAAACUGGAGCUAAUACCGUAUGUGCCCGAAAGGGGAAAGAUUUAUCGCCUUCAGAUGGGCCCGCGUCGGAUUAGAUAGUUGGUGAGGUAAUGGCUCACCAAGGCGACGAUCCGUAGCUGGUCUGAGAGGAUGAUCAGCCACACUGGGACUGAGACACGGCCCAGACUCCUACGGGAGGCAGCAGUGGG